CUACCUAUCGUUGCUUCGGCGGACUCGCCCCAGCCGGAAGCGGACUGGACCAGCGGCCGCCGGGGACCAUCAAACUCUUGUAUUAUCAGCAUCUUCUGAAUACGCCGCAAGGCAAAACAAAUAAAUUAAAACUUUCAACAACGGAUCUCUUGGCUCUGGCAUCGAUGAAGAACGCAGCGAAAUGCGAUAAGUAAUGUGAAUUGCAGAAUCCAGUGAAUCAUCGAAUCUUUGAACGCACAUUGCGCCCGCCAGCAUUCUGGCGGGCAUGCCUGUUCGAGCGUCAUUUCAACCCUCGACCUCCCUUUGGGGAAGUCGGCGUUGGGGACCGGCAGCACACCGCCGGCCCUGAAAUGGAGUGGCGGCCCGUCCGCGGCGACCUCUGCGUAGUAAACCAACUCGCACCGGAACCCCGACGUGGCCACGCCGUAAAACACCCAACUUCUGAACGUUGACCUCGAAUCAGGUAGGACUACCCGCUGAACUUAAGCAUAUCAAUAA
rnacentral:rRNA from 1 species